AAGGGCGGUGUCCUCGAAAAAUUAUUAUCUCAAAAAACUUGUUGUUUGCAAGACCACGCCUUCUCCCAGUUGCAAUUGGCCCUGGAGGAGAUCUGUCCGGGAAGCUAAGUGUGUGAAUAAAAAAAAUCAAAUAAACAGGUAGCCAGUCUGAAGACUUGUGUCAGCCUAGGGGCUGAACGUAUUGCAUUACAGACCCUUCCUGCAAGUGGUUGUAGUUCGAUUAUUGCAUUCGGGAAACCUGGAAUCAAUCAUUACACCGACACCGACCAGGAAGACAAAGUGAAAUGGGCUACCACUUGAGCCGCCACCAGCCGCAGUGUGAGCCGAGACCCUCGCACCUGAAGGGCCGAAAGCAGCACCGAGGGCCGUACCUCAGCGAGACAUGGAGCUUUGCAGACGCGUCCUGCUGUCGGGUCAACAUCAACACGGCCACCGAGGAAGAGCUGAUGACGCUACAGGGCAUCAGCAGGACUCUGGCGCACAACAUCGUGGUUUACCGGCACAAGAUUGGGGGCUUCCGCAAAGUCGAGGACAUGGCUUUGGCGCCGGGAGUAGGGGCUGCGAGGCUCCAACAGAUCCGGCCUGAGAUCUGUGUGAGCAGCCGGGGCUCCUCUCAGUCCACAGGGAACUUGUCGAGUUUCGAUCUGCUGUCUUCCACCCAGUUGAACGUCAACGUCGCCUCGGAGAAACAGCUCGCGGCAUCGCUGGGGAUCGCGCAAGAUCUCGCCGAGAGUAUUGUCCAUUACCGCACCCUGUAUGGACCUUUCAAACGUGUCGAUGAUUUGCUUCAGGUGGAUGGGGUUGAUGUGUCUUUGCUGGGUGCGAUCAGAUCGAAACUCAGCGUCUCCCUUCCCAGACCGGUCUCCUCCUAUUCAUGCACCCGGUUGGGGGACAGGCCCAAUCAAAUGUCCUCUUAUUACAGCUUGCAGGACCUCAACUUGAACCAUGGUGUUUGUGAUCGGUUCACUUCAGUUAGGAACCCAGCUGAGGCCUUCACUGGGAUUUUUGAUGGGAGGAAGGUAAUCCGUAUCGGCACUUGGAACCUACAGAGCCUCACGUUGGACAAGGUCAACAAUCCAGGAGUGAGGGAAGUCAUCUGCUUGACGCUGCUUGAGAAUGGGAUUAAGUUAUUGGCGGUGCAGGAGAUACUGCAUGAAGAUGCUUUGGAAAAGAUAUGCCUGGAGCUUGAGAAACCGACUAUUGCUACAGUGCAAGAAUGGAAAGGAGACCGUGGCAAGUGGAAAUAUGUUGCAUUAGAUACCUCACUAGGACAAGAAAAACGGAAUGUUGAACAAGUGGCCUUCCUUUGGGACACUACAUCAGGCCUUGAGCUGGACCGGGCCAUCAGCCUAGAGAAGCUGCUGGAACAGUAUAAUAGACAUCAGCCAUACAGCCAACCUUUGCUAGGCUUCUUUAAGGUAGGAACACUUUCGCUCGACAUCAUCAACGUUCAUCUUAAGUCCAAACCAGAUCCUGAAGUCGUCACAGGCAUCCCACAAAAAACCCUGCCAAUGGACAUUCUCCGAGCACAUCUCGCAGACCAGAAGCAGCUCAUCAUUCUGGGGCACUUUGGUUUGCAGCCCGAUGCCAUUGAGUUCAAUAUACUGAGAGAGAACCACUUCCAGCACUGCGUUCCCAGUGAUGUCUUCACCAACGUCAGCAGCAAUGACAAGGACAGGGAUGUCACCCAGGGCAACAUCUGGUGGAACCAGGAAGUUGCAAAUGCUUACACAGGGAGAUGGGGGGUAAUUCGACAGGGCCUCAGCAGCCCCUGGAUUCCAGAUGGUUGGAAAUGGGGAGGAGUCAUUUCCCAGCAUUGCCCAGUUUGGAUGGAGAUCUUCACUGACGAGAAACAAACUAGGAAAAUCGAUUUACACUGAAACAGCCAUCAAGAAUGACAGAGAGAAUGGGCUAGCAGGAUGAUUUCAAGCAGCUUGUUUGUUUGGUUUUCCAAUUCGACGACUCUGGUGCAAGGUGUUUCAUUGACCUGUAGAAUCUUCUAAUUCAGUUACCAGCAGACAAUAUUGAUUUCCUGUAAAUCACUAUCGCCACACAGACUACAGGGUGCUCACAGCAGUCCCUUGGCAUGGAAAAUAUUGAUUUUGAUGACUGUUUGGUCAUCCGGUUAAAAUCUUGUUGGACAGCGACCGGAAUACCUCCGUAGAGCCUCAAGUGGGAUCAGACUUGGAUUUUACUUGUUGCCUUUGGGCCACUGGGCAGCAGAGUGUCUCUGAAAGCCUUCGAAACCAAUCUAUUCUAAACAGGAAGGCUUCACAACAUUGGUUCGUCUUACCUCAGAGAUCAUCAUAAUGACUGACAUUAAUGGAUGCCAAUAAACUUUUGGAUUGAGGUCCACAUUCCACAAGGUGCACCUUCCAGCAUUGUGGGCCUACCUACAGCACAUGGACUGAAGAAGUUCAAGAGGGGAACUUCUUAAGGACAUCUCGGGACAGACAAUAAAUUAUGCAGCCAUGUCCAAUAAGUGAAUUGAAAAAGUGAUCAUUCUUUACAUUCCUGGCCCAAGACUAACAACAGAACACCAUUCCAUCAUCAGUAGUGUCACUUAUCAGCUCAACUAUGGAUCCUGAGACUUAGCUCCCAAUGACUAUCUUCAUGAUAUAACUAAUUGCAGCAAACUUCUGUUCCUUCAUUUAGAUUUGUCUUUGCCCUCAACAGCACAAAAACAAAUCAGCUGGUCAUUAUCUCAUUGCUAUUUUGGGAUCAUGCUACACAAAAAUUGGCUGCCACUUUCUCUACAUCGCAACAAUGACGGCGCUUCAUAAGAUUCUUUCUAAAAAAAGAGACCGAGAAAUCCACUCUUGAAGGAAAUUCUUCACACAAAAAGUGGGGAACUGGAUACUUAAGGACUGGCUGAAGCAAACUGUAUUAAAGGGAAGCUGGACCUUCAAUGCAGAAGGAAAUGGAGAAUUACAAUGGGAGGGGAGGAGGUUCAGAUUGUACAUAAAUAACUGCAGUUACAAAAUAUUUAUGGUUUAUUAUUUGGAAACUUGGGUACUAAAAUGCAUGAAAAAUGGAUUUUAAUUCAUUAGUUGUAGGAGAAUCCCAAUUUUUUUUAAUGUACAAAUUGAUUUUUUGACCUUGAGUUAAACACAGAAAUACAGUUAAAUAUAGAAACUAGGAUCAGGAGUAGGCUAUUCAGCCCUUUGAGACUGCUCUGCCGUUCAGUAUGAUCACAGCUAACCCUCCAUCUCAAUGCCAUAUUCCCAUUUACUCCCCAUAUACCUUGACGCCUUUAAGAUCUGUCUCCUUCUUGAAAAUAUUCAGUGACCUGGCCUCUACAGUUUUCUGUGGUACAGAAUUCAACAGGGUCACUACCAUCUGAGUGAAGGAAUUUUUCCUCAACUCAGUCUGAAAUGGUCUUCCCCAUAUCCUGUGGUUCUAGACUCCCUAGUCAGGGGAAACCACUUCCCUGUAUCUAGUCUGUCCAACCCUGUUAGAAUUCCAUAUAUUUCAAUCAGAUCCUCUCUCUCAUCCUUCUAAACUCGAGUGAAUGCAGGCAUAGUUGAAUCAAUCUCUUAGAUGAAGUCAUGUGAUUUCAGCUAAAUUGUCAGCAUGUUAUGUGGGGAGAUAACUGCUAUAAAGUACUUGCUGACUUCAGUUUUACAACCACUACACAGACAGAGAGAUAGAGAGAGAUGAAGACCUGAAGCAGAUUGAUUCAGAAAGAAAUUCAUAACAGCAGAGGUGUUGUUAUUAGCAAUCUCCAAACAGGUAGAGCUUGGAAGAAGUCCUCAGCUGAUUAGAAAUCAGUGGACAAAAAAAAACUGCAGAAGCAGAUGGCUGUGGAGGUUUCAGAAAAGAAGACAUCCUACAAAGUUGCUGAAGAUGAGAGUUUAGAGAACCUGUGUUAAGCAAUAUGUGAGCUGAGUUAGCAGUUUGUUUUAUUGGUCUUAGAGAGAGAUGUUAAUUGAAGAAAAUAGCAUUGUAUGAAUGCACAGAAAAAGUUGCCAAGAGGAAACUGAUUAUAGCCAUGCCAACUGUGAAACAAGCAUUAGCAUGGAGAUGGGGUGACACGUCAUAGAGGUUUAAGUGUCUGUGAGAUUAUUAUUGGGUGAAAAGGUUGACGCUUUCUGAUAUUUGCAAAGAGAUUCCUCAAAUUGGUCUUGUAUAGUGCAAUAUAGAGCAUGCUUUUUAUUCUUUUGUAAACUUCUAGAAAGGAUACUGAGAUUAAGUUCAGUAACUGUCCACAGUAAACAAAGAGAAAUAAAACCUAUCAUCUAUCAAGCCAGGUUCCACUCUGGAAUCUGACUUGUCCGAUAGUAUGUUGGGAUCACAAUGAAGCAUGAAUUGGUUGGGAUGAAUGGCCAUUUUGUCUUCUGUAGAUCUAUGUAAUUGGCUGUAAAGCAAUUUGAAUCGUCCUGAAGUUGAGAAAAUAUUUGUACUAAUGCAAAUGUUUCUUUUUGUUGUGAAACAUAUCCCAUUUAAGUAUAUAUGGGCUGCACAGUAAUGGCUGUGCCCCUUCACUCCCUCCUCCAUCCAAUCAGCCCCAUCCAGUGUUUCUCUUUGCCUCUGGUCACAUUCCUUCACAUUCUCUUCGGGUCUCCUGGACUUGACCCUGAAGUCUGUGUUUAAGUGCAGUCUGUGUACAUUGCCUGUGUGUGAGUUAGUAAUUGCCUACUGAGCUCUGAGAAAAAAAACUGAAAUCAUUCAUUUACUGAUCAGGACACAGCAUUCCACGCUGUCCAUUCUGGAGACUCUGUGACUCAUGUCCCGUUGAUCAUGCCAAAAGCAGUAUAAACCAUAAUUUCACUAGAAAGCAUAUUGUUAAAGGCAACAGAUCAAUGUCACUAAUAUCAGUGUGAUGAUAUUAUGGUUAUAAGAGGUGUAUUUUGUCCUUUUUUUAUGAAGUAAGGUUGAGACACAGGCAUUGAGUAGUCUGCUCAAAGUAAACAGAUUGAGGCCUUGACCUUUUUUUAAAACAAUGUUGGAACAAUAGAAGCAGCCUGGAUGUGUGGGGUCAAGCUCCCACAAACCAGGAUUUGUAGUUUUUGCUUUCUGCACUUGUUGGGAUAUUGAAGCUGGAUGUGGAAGCUCUUAUUCCUCUCUCUGUGACAGCUAAAAGCUGGGGUUCUCUUCCUGCUGUUAGAAUUCCACAUGAGACAAUCUAUUUUACUGAAUUUGCCUUUGCCAAGGGUCUGUCUUUUGGAUGUUACUACAUUGGAACAGGUAAUUAGUAAUGGUCCU